rnacentral:rRNA from 1 species
UACAGAGGGGGCAAGCGUUGUUCGGAAUUACUGGGCGUAAAGGGCGCGUAGGCGGCCUUCUAAGUCGAACGUGAAAUCCCACGGCUCAACCGUGGAACUGCUCGGUAUACUGGCGAUCUUGGGCCACUUAGGGGCUAGCGGAACAAACGGUGGAGCGGUGAAAUGCGUAGAUAUCUGGAGGAAUACCGGUGGCGAAGGCGGCAUCCUGGACCGGCAUUGACGCUGAGGAGCGAAAGCUAGGGGAGCAAACGGG